GAAAAGGCGUGGGUUUGCUGCCAGUUGGCUGCGGAUCCGAUCAGGGCCAGGCUCUGUAGGGUGCGGAUGGGCUCUCCUGGCGUCGGGGUGCGGAUGGGGUACCUGAGGCAGUCUUGCGUAGGAGAUGAGAAGUCGAGGGGCCCUCUGGAAGCCCCUCCGAACCAGCCACUGCUCAUCCCAGAGAAAAGGCCCGGAUGUCGAGGACAGAUAAGCAAACAGGUACAAAAAAGUUCCCCAACGCCCAGCAAAAGAAAUGCUCCAGUAGGAAAGGGCCCAGCCUAACCAAGGACAGGCCGGGGAGGCACUGGGUGAGGGCGGGUUCCAGGUAGGGGCAGGGGUCCCUUUCGGAGGGUCAGAGGUCUGUAGAUAGGGGAAAAAAUAGAACAGAGGCCUCGUUAGGUCUUGGAGCUAGUCCUGACCAGAAGGGGUCAAGGGUGGGGUAGAGAAAAGGCAAGAAGUCAGCUGAGGGGCGGCAGCGGUGGCCUCGGGGCUUGCACAGGCAGGACGCAGGGCCAAGCGCAAACGCGGACACCGCGCCCCGCCCGCGCCAGGGUGCGGGAGCAGGGGCGGGGCUGGCCGGCGGCGCAGGGAUUCGCCCUGGGCUCGCUCUGUAGUCCUCUCCCGAGUCGGCGCAUCGCGCAUCGCGCACCCGCAGCUGCAGCAGCGUCCUCUGCCCUGCCCGGCUCUAGGCCCGCUAGGAGGGACGCACCCCCUUGCCCACCCGCUGCCCACCCCAAAGACAAGGCCCUGACAAGUAGGUCAAGGACAAGCACACAGACGGACAGAAGCUGCGCGCAGACCCCCGGAAGGGACCUCGUUAGGCAGAGCCGCGGGAAGGGGGGCCCAUUCCCGUGGGGGAGCCCCGAGCUUCAGCCAGGGGCAAAGGGCCAGGGUCCCCCAUCCUCCGGAGUCCCGCCCUGGUCCCUUCUCUGUCGUCUUUACAGAUAAAGCGCCUUCCUCCCCGUAAGCUUUGUCCCUCUGACGUAUCAUCGCGGCUGAGCUCCUGAUCCGGGGGCUGCGGGACAGCGGAGCCGCGGGGCUCGUCCCACGAACGCGCCGUCCUUUGGUCCCCCGCCCCGGGACCAGAGGUGACGCUGCCACCCUGCUUUCUGCUGAGACAGUUUACUGAAGAAGAAACCCCGGCGCCGGAUCCGCGCGGUUGCCCCCAGCACCAGCGGCCGCCUCUUGUGG